AUGGAGGUGCCGGGCAUCGCCGAUUCUCCGUGCCGCCCGAGGAGCGCGCGGUACGCGGUGAAGGGGUACCCCAACUACGCGGAGGAGCCCGACUUCUGCGGCCCCGCCACGCCGUGCCGUCCACGGAGCGCGCGGCAUGCCCGGAAGGGAGGGUCCGUCGGGCGCCUCGGGCACAAGAGGGACGAGGGAGGCGUCCCGGUAAAGAAGCCGGUGCUGCAUUACGUAAGGAGGAAGCAAAGGGAGGCUGCCAAGGCCGCGGAGACGGCGGUGGACAUGCUCGUUCCGUUGCUCCAGGGCAUGGAGGCGGUGGCGCUGGACGGGAGAAAGAGGCGCAGGACAGUCACCGCACCCAUGGCAACGGCGAUGACGCCAUGCGAGGUUUUGGCGCUGCCCAAGGACAACGAGGAGGUGGCGCCCGUGGAUGGUGGGGCCGAUGAGCAUGGCGGUGGCGGCAAGAGCUGGAGGUUGCGUGUGAAGGAAACGCUGCGGGCGUUCAGCAGUAACUACCAUCACUUUGUGCAGCCAGUGUUUUUAAGGCCUGACAUGGUUUGUGUCACAGGAGGAACAACAAAGAGAGCAGGCUGUAAGGCAAGAGCUGAAGGCCUCCAGGGCUCUCAAGCGUCAGGUGUGGCAUUCUCUGUCUUCUAUGAUAAACGAACAGUUUUAGCUGUGAAAUUAGGGUCUCUUUGA
rnacentral:rRNA from 1 species